UGGACAGCCGUGGAGACCAAAGUCCACUCUGUAUCCAUAGACCAGGUAGUACACGGGCAGCAGCUACAAAAGCCUCCUCCCCUACUUGCUACCUCCUGGCUUUACAGGUGGGAAAACUGAGGCACGGAACUCCUGUAGGGACAGAAGGGGAGCUCAGUCUCCACAGUUCAUCCAAUCCCUGGCUAAG
rnacentral:sRNA from 1 species